rnacentral:rRNA from 1 species
ACGGGAGGCAGCAGUGGGGAAUAUUGCACAAUGGGGGGAACCCUGAUGCAGCGACGCCGCGUGAAGGAAGAAGUAUCUCGGUAUGUAAACUUCUAUCAGCAGGGAAGAUAAUGACGGUACCUGACUAAGAAGCCCCGGCUAACUACGUGCCAGCAGCCGCGGUAAUACGUAGGGGGCAAGCGUUAUCCGGAUUUACUGGGUGUAAAGGGAGCGUAGACGGAGAAGUAAGUCUGAUGUGAAAGGCAUGGGCUCAACCUGUGGACUGCAUUGGAAACUAUUUUUCUUGAGUGCCGGAGGGGUAAGCGGAAUUCCUAGUGUAGCGGUGAAAUGCGUAGAUAUUAGGAGGAACACCAGUGGCGAAGGCGGCUUACUGGACGGUAACUGACGUUGAGGCUCGAAAGCGUGGGGAGCAAACAGGAUUAGAUACCCUGGUA